AGAGUUUGAUUAUGGCUCAGGAUGAACGCUAGCUACAGGCUUAACACAUGCAAGUCGAGGGGCAGCAUGGUCUUAGCUUGCUAAGGCCGAUGGCGACCGGCGCACGGGUGAGUAACGCGUAUCCAACCUGCCUUACACUCUUGGACAGCCUUCUGAAAGGGAGAUUAAUACAAGAUGUUAUCAUGAGUAAGCAUUUUCACAUGAUUAAAGGUUUACCGGUGUAAGAUGGGGAUGCGUUCCAUUAGAUAGUAGGCGGGGUAACGGCCCACCUAGUCUUCGAUGGAUAGGGGUUCUGAGAGGAAGGUCCCCCACAUUGGAACUGAGACACGGUCCAAACUCCUACGGGAGGCAGCAGUGAGGAAUAUUGGUCAAUGGACGAGAGUCUGAACCAGCCAAGUAGCGUGAAGGAUGAAGGUUCUAUGGAUUGUAAACUUCUUUUAUACGGGAA
rnacentral:rRNA from 1 species